rnacentral:rRNA from 1 species
UUAACAGGAUUUUGAUACCCUGGUAGUCCAUGCCGUAAACGUUGGGCACUAGGUGUGGGGCUCAUUCCACGAGUUCCGUGCCGCAGCAAACGCAUUAAGUGCCCCGCCUGGGGAGUACGGCCGCAAGGCUAAAACUCAAAGGAAUUGACGGGGGCCCGCACAAGCGGCGGAGCAUGCGGAUUAAUUCGAUGCAACGCGAAGAACCUUACCAAGGCUUGACAUGCACGGGAAGCCACCAGAGAUGGUGGUCUCUUUGGACACUCGUGCACAGGUGGUGCAUGGUUGUCGUCAGCUCGUGUCGUGAGAUGUUGGGUUAAGUCCCGCAACGAGCGCAACCCUCGUCCCAUGUUGCCAGCGGGUUAUGCCGGGGACUCAUGGGAGACUGCCGGGGUCAACUCGGAGGAAGGUGGGGGAUGACGUAA